GAGCCCAAAACGAAGAAAAAAGGAAAAAGAAAAAGGAAAGGAAUAAGGAAAAUGAUGGUAUUAAGCCACGUUUUAUGCAAGAGAAAAGUAAGAAAGAAAAACAUGAGUGAGGUUACGCAAGCCAUAUGCGACUUCCUUAGACCAACCUCAACCGCACAGGAUUAACACGGUACAACGGCACCGGAGUGGGGUCGACUAUUGGCACCGUGGAAAGCGAAGGAAGAUGGUGAUGGAGGAGCGGAUCGCGAACAAGAAGAAGGUCCACCAUCGAAAGUCGUCUCCGACGGCGACGCGCGGUAGAGUUCAUGCUUUGGGUUUGUCACGUCCGCGCACGACAAGAGCUUAAGGAAGAAGAUGAAAGCAUAUAUCGCCUCCAGCAACGGCGCGCGGUGGCACACGGCAGCCCUUGUGGUUUUAUUCACUCGUGUUCCCUGGAUUCAAAACAUCAAAGAGAUCAAACUACACAAAAUAUUGAUACCUAAAGUUGUGGUGCCCUUUUAUCUUCCUCUCCGCUUUGCCAGGAUUCCUUUGUCUUCCACGCACGCUUGCUCUUAUUAGUUAGUCAUUUGGGCAUGGUGGCUUGUUUGCAAGGCAUGGUGGCUUGUUUGCAGUGGUAAGGUGACUCUGUAACAAUUGUAGCAGAGUAGUUGGGGGUCAGUAGAUGGUAUUCGAAGAAGGUAGAGGAAGAUUUUGUUUUCCUUUUUUGUUUUUGUUCAUUUUUUGUUUGAUUUAGCAUAUGUAUUAUUAUUUUUUUGAAUUAUACAAGAAGACAAAAUUUGGAGUUAACAGCGAGGAGUGUGAAAAUCAGAUCGUACAAGAGCAUGAGGCAGGUUUCAUGCAUGUUGUCUGACAAGCUACCUAUUUCUGUCAUGUGCCUUCUGAUUUCACCUUCGAGUUGACUAAGGAUUUCUACAAGGGCACUUAUAUGGAUUUUACUGAGAUGCUAGAGGAUGCUCAGCUAGAUGAUGUUGCCCAUGCUCGUUCGGGUAGCCGAGAAGAUCCCGACACAACCUUCCAGGAUGACGAGGAGACCUAGUAUGGCAAUGGUGAUGACAACAUAGUUUCUGGUAUGUGAGAUGGGUCAGGUUCCCUCCUCUUGGCCAUUUUGUAGAAGCCUUAGGUGGAAAAGUUGACUUUUUGUUUUGUGGGGUUGGGUGUAAUGUUUUACUUUUUGAACCUUCUUGAUCUAUGUGUACUAGAGCUUUGAAUGCUCUUAUUUUGUCAAUACCCAAGCGACUGUCAAACUUAAUGAGAAUCUAUUUU